AGGAAUGAUUUGAUAGAGGACUUGGAAGCUCUCUGCACCCCAGGAUGUAUAUUCUGCUUCAAAUCAGAAAAUGGCUUUGGCUUGUCAUGGCUGACCCAUCUCUUCAGAGUCUGCUCCAUUAGCACUUUCCAUAGUCCAGCUGAAAACUAGCUUUGGGAAGACCACGAAGGGAGGGUAAGAGGGAGCUCUAGAAACAAGGGAAGCUGCCCCGUGAUAUUUUGCUGAUAUGGCUGCCUAAACAAGACCUGCAUAAUGACAAUUGACAUGCCUUCGAGGAUGAGAGAUUCACAGGCCACAUCUCUCAAUAAAGAUCUACAGAGAAUCAUGGCUCAGGAGAGGAAGAAUCAGUUUUCUCCUGAUAUGAGCUUCAGAUGAAGAGAUUACCCAAUUCCAAGUGAUAAGCCCAAAAUACACGUACAUCCAAACAACAUUAAAUGGACUCAGUAGGUUAUACAGAGAAAUAUGGAUAUAGAUGCAUAUAUUUGUAUAUAUAAUAAUAAAGAAGAGGUCAUGAGUUUGAGAGGGAAUGAGGGGCACAGGAG